UACGUAGGGAGCAAGCGUUGUCCGGAAUCAUUGGGCGUAAAGCGCGCGUAGGCGGCCCUGUAAGUCCGUUGUGAAAGUCAAAGGCUCAACCUUUGAAAGCCGAUGGAUACUGCAGGGCUAGAGUCCGGAAGAGGUGGGUGGAAUUCCUAGUGUAGAGGUGAAAUUCGUAGAUAUUAGGAAGAACACCGGUGGCGAAGGCGGCCCACUGGUCCGGUACUGACGCUGAGGUGCGAAAGCGUGGGGAGCAAACAGG
rnacentral:rRNA from 1 species